GACGAACGCUGGCGGCGUGCCUAAUACAUGCAAGUAGAACGCUGAAGGAGGAGCUUGCUCUUCUGGAUGAGUUGCGAACGGGUGAGUAACGCGUAGGUAACCUGCCUGGUAGCGGGGGAUAACUAUUGGAAACGAUAGCUAAUACCGCAUAACAGUAGAUGUUGCAUGACAUUUACUUAAAAGGUGCAAUUGCAUCACUACCAGAUGGACCUGCGUUGUAUUAGCUAGUUGGUGGGGUAACGGCUCACCAAGGCGACGAUACAUAGCCGACCUGAGAGGGUGGUCGGCCACCCGGGGACGGGAACACGGCCCAGACUCCUACGGGAGGGAGCAGAAGGGAAUCUUCGGCAAUGGGGGGGAGUCUGACCGAACAAGGCGGGGGGGGUGAAAAAGGUUUUCGGAUCGUAAAGCUCUGUUGUAAGGGAAAAACGGGUGGGGGAGGGGAAAGUUCACACGGGAACGGUAUUGUACCAGAAGAGGACGGCAAACUACGG
rnacentral:rRNA from 1 species